GAUGAGAACCAUCAAGGGACCAUUAAAACUUCAAGUGAUCCUUUGCACAUUCAUGGAGGCCCAAUUACAAGAGCAAGAGCCAAAAAGAUGCAAGCUGCUUUAAAUGGAUUAAUUGAGAAAAUAUGGAUUGAAAAUGCAAUUCAAGAUGCAAGACAUCAUGAAUUGGGCUUGAAGAGAAGACAAGGCAUUGUGGGCAUUAUUCAAGUCAUUGGGCAGCCAAAUACACAAGUUGUAUCAAAUGCAGAAAGGUCAAAUUCGGAAUAAAAACUGUAUUGAUUGAGCCAGAAUUAAAGUGCAAGCUAUAUACCGUUAGAAAGAUAAUUAAGUUAGCUUUCCAAUAAAUUUUACAAAGCUGGAUUUGGAGUUCUCUAGAAGGAGUAUAUACCUUUGGAAAGAUAAUUAAGUUAGCUUUCCAAUACAUUUUACAGAGCUGGAUUUGGAGUUCUCUAGAAGGAGUUAUGACCAAUUCUUUACAGCUUGUUCAGACUUGGGAUUUUCAACGAAUCCUUUGUUUUUCAACU
rnacentral:lncRNA from 1 species